UGACCUGAUCUGGCUCAUGGCCUGUGCC
rnacentral:piRNA from 1 species